GCCGACGUAGCUCAAUAGGCAGAGCAGCUGUUUUGUAAACAGCAGGUCGUCGGUUCAAUCCCGAUCGUGGGCU
rnacentral:tRNA from 1 species